rnacentral:lncRNA from 1 species
GUGAGCCGCUGUGCCCAGGCCAAUCCCAGAGAUUUUGAUGAUUUCUCGAUACGAGUUUCACGAAGACUUGAAAAGAAUGUGUCCUCUGUUGUUGGAUGGAGUGUCCUUGAAAUGUUCAUUAGCCUUCUAGCUCCAUUCAGAAGAGCCUCCGAAGUAGAGACCAGAAAUCCUUCUAGUGGGCUGUGCUUUGAGCAGUACUGCUUGUUGACUGCUUUACUUGGAAGGAGAGAUCGACUGAGGUAAGGCUCUUACUAAUGCACGUGCUUUGCUAAUGGUUUGGCCAGAUGAUCAAAAAUGUGGAAGGGGUAAGAUUCAAGGAUUGGUGACAAGGAAGUUUAGAAUAACAGAGAUGUGGAUGGGCCUCCUAGAAUGACCAAAGAAUAUGAGAAUAUUUAUGUUUCAUGUGAACAUUCAUCAAGCUCCUAUUGGUAGUCAGGUAGACAGGUAGACAAGGUGGUCUACUUUGAGGAUGCUGAUUAAUCUCUUCCUCCAGUGACGCAGGGUUUGCUCAGUGGGCUCAUGGACAGAGUGGCCCUGAUGGCUCAGUGGAGGGCUUGGUAUAGGCUUAGCCACAUGGACUCACCAAGACUAACCUGGUUACAGCCGUUGUUGAAUGCCCAACAUUCUACAGCAGAAACCAACCCUGAGCUCCUGACUUGGUGCCAUACCGUGGGGGGACCAACCUGCUGCUUCAGGCCCGGGAAAGAAGUGGACAAGACUCUGCUCUCUUCAUGGAACCGAGUAUUCUAAGGACACAGCCAAGUCAGGAGACUACACCCCUAGUAUAAUAAGUCCUGUGGCUGUACUGAGAAGAGGUCCUGACUCAGAACUGGAGGACAUCAUGGAAGGCUUCCUGGAGGAAGUGCCAUCUAGGCUGAAACCUAAAGGAUGAGUAGAACUAACCAGAUGAAAAGCACUGGAUUUGACUCAUCCCUGCAUCCCCCGAGCACCUCGUGGGUGCCGUAAAGGCAGCUGGGUUGAUGAUGACUGAGUGAAGGAGCGCCUGAGUGGAUGAGCCACUGAGUGAAUGAACUGGAGUUCAUCUUCCACGUGGUCCUCAGCAUCCACUCUAGAAGCCAAAGCCAAGGACACAGCAACCCACCGAGUGCCUUGUCCUCACUCUCUCCAACUGGGGAGUGCCCCUGCGGUGUCAUCUCUCUUUACAGAAGAGAUGCCAUGAGCUACUUUCCUUUCCCCACCUCACCUAACUUCUCUGCUGUAGCCUAACAGUCCAGGACCUGGGGAUUCAGGUGAGACACAGAUUAAGUCCCCAUAACUGACAUUUUCUUCUGAGAAGAAAGCAUUCACAUUCAAGGACUUGAGCAGCUCUGAGCCCCAUGGCAGCUGAGAUGCCACAGUGCGUCAAGUACAGGCACAUGGCAUCUGGGAGGCAGAGCUACAUCCUCUGGGUUGGAUGAUUUCUGCCUUUCCCCAGGGGUUCACAGCUUGCAAUCAUUCUGUAACUGAGGAGUCUGGUGGAAAUGGGGGUAGCAAAGAGAUCAGAGCAGGCAAAUGGUCCUCUGGGGCUGGGAACACUCCCUCUUUCUACCUUCCAACUGCAGGCACAUGUACGUGUCUUUUCAGCCUGAGGGAUCUAAAGCCUUGGGACUUCUGGAUCUGCAAGUGGUCCCUGUUUUGGUAGCUAUUGACUGACGAGGGGCUCUUCGGUAAGUUCUGGGGUGGCAGUGGAGGUGAUGAUGGGAGGGUGUUACAGGGCUCCACAGGCUCUUACAGGGCUCGGGAGCUUAUUUAAGGGAACACCUUGAUUGUCCAUGUGUCGUGGGCCAGAGAAGAAAGGCAGCACUGUGGAUCUUCUGGGAGGAAAGGAGAGGCGUCGAUUUCUGACUCCAGUUUUCUAUGAUCAGCACAGACUCUGUCCCACCUCCUCCCUACAGAGCUUCUGGAUCCUGGAGGAUGGAGAAUAGGCUAAAUUGCACAGGCCAGCUCCAGUCCAUUGGCAGGGCUGCCUAGAACAUGGCUGUGAUGAUCCCAAAGCUCAAUAGCAGAGAACCCUGUGGGGUGCUAGGAGUGUCUGCCAGGGUGCCGCAGGGAAAGGGGAGCAUGUGUGUAGAUGUAGAAAGCAUCUCUGCCAUCCCCUCCCCUAAAGAAUAUAUAACAUGGCCAUGCAGAAAAACACUUGUGAAAGGAGCUGCUGCCCUCAGGACAGCGUGUCAUUGAAAUGGGGGCUGAGCAACCCGUCAGAAGAGUGGGGAGGAGGGACCAUCCUCCAGCCCCUUCCCAGCUCUCUUCUGGAGCCAUAAGCCACAACACUGUCUAUGAAAAAGCUGAGGCCUAGAGCAGAAGGAGUGCAAAAUCCCAGCUACUGCAGGCCUACGCCCAGUGGUUCUCAAAGUGUUGUCCUCAGUCUAGCAGCAUCAGUGUCACCUGAAAACUGGUUAGACAUCCAGGUUCUCAGUUGUUAUCCAGCUCUAGCAGAUGGGAAACGCUGGGGGCGGGACCAGCCAUCUGUGUUUAACAAGCCCCACAGGUGACUGCUGUAGCCUUGAGUGAGGACCUCGGCCAAAAAGAAGGCUCCUACCGUGGCUGUUUGCUGAUGGUCUUCGCAGAGCCUGCUGUCUUUGAGCUUCCUGAGAGAGGGACACUACCCUCGCUUAGCCUGGCAGUGUUGCCCAGGAGGAGGCAGUGGAGUUAAGAAGCCUGGGUCUGAGCUCCUCAGCUGUGCAGACAACUCCUACUUGUUCUUCAACGCUCAACUUUAAGUUCAGUCACCACCUGCAGAAGUCUUCUCCAAAACCUCCCCACCUGGCUGACUAAGGGGCUGGCUUUAUGCUCUUGCAGUACUCAUGCUUCCUACUGUCACAGUUCUGACCACACCGUGGGAAAACGUCUCUAACUAGAGACCUGUCUUGCCUCUUGUGCCUGUAGUACGGGAUGGGUGCCCAGUGUGUGUUGAUUGUAUGAAUCAAUCUCUGUGACUCCAGAGUUCCUUUCUUCAGGAGAUUAGACAUCACCCCUGCAAUCAACAAUGCAAGCCACUGCUGUUUCCUCCAUCCUGAGCAUGAGGAACCUAUCCAGUUUCUCUCUCAGAUGCCAGGGCCAUGAGGCAAGUCCAGCCUUGGCCUAGAACCAAAGAUGGAAACAAAAAGGGGCCAGACUGUGUUGCCUUCUUGAGCCUGGUCUGACUCCUGAGUGGAAGUCUGAUUCCAGGUACAUGAGAUAAGCACUAAUACCUCCAGUUUGCAGAUUAAGAGACUGAGGUCCUGAAGAGGUUAAAGAACUUGGCUCAAGUCACAUAGCUGGUGAGCAGCAAGAUACAAGAAUCAACCCAAGUCCAGGGGGCUGUGUGCCGUUUACACUUCACAUCUGUGCUGCCAGGGCUGUAGCUAUAAAAGCUUGAAAACCAUUACUCUGAGAAUCUCUCUGUUGGGAAAAUGAGUCCCUUCAACUCUAGUUGUUGCCACUGGGAUGCUAACAGAAAGCAAAGUCUCAGAGGAAAGAUGUGGCAUUCCUGAGUGUCUUCCAUGUACCAGGACUUCUAUUUGCUAGCCACUUUAUGUUCCUCAUCCCAUCCUUCUGUGAGGGACAUACUUUUCAGAUGAGAAACGUAAGCUCCGCGAAGCUAAGGGGCCGGACUGAGGUCCCACAGCGAGAGUGUGGAGGAGCCAGGAUCCGAACCCCAUCGCCAGCCCUUGCCAGUUCCAUGAUUCCGGUGCCAGCGCUCGCCUGACCUCCAGGGCUGUCAUGGUGGGAAGGGACUGGAGGGCAUCUGCUGGGCAAAGGAAAGAGACAAACAUCAUCCCAGAGCCUGUCUUCCCUGGGCAAUACCCGGGCCACUCCAGACAUGGCGUCUUUAGCCCUUCCUUGGUCACUGGCCCCCAGGUGAAGAGAGCAUUUUUCUCUGACUCAAGUUCUUGCCUCUGGAUUUGCCAAGCUCCUAUGACAGUCUUCGCCCUUCUGAAGCUCUCUCAGGCUCCCCUUCCAGAAAUCCCGCAGGUUCCACCGACCUCUCUGAGAGCACAGGCGAGUGGUUGAACGGUGGGCUUUAGAGACGGCGCGGCACCAGAGUCCUGUACUGGCUGUGUGAUCCUGAACCUCCUCACUGAGAUUCUCAUCUGCAAGAUGGAGA